AACUUUCGACCACCGCCUCUCUCCCUUCUCUCUCGCAUUUCCACCAUUGUCAACCAUAGAUGAGACCUCCGAAGCUUCACAAAACUAUGCCAAACACAUAAAUCACCAUCAAAAUCUUACCUAAACACCUCCUAUCAACUUGAAUCCAAGGAGAUCCUUGAAGAUUGGCUUCAAGACUAGAGAGAGAAAGUUUGAUAUUUGGUGUAAACUUGGGCCCGAGCGAGACGAAGAGGUAAGUUGCCUGAUUUCUUUCCAGGAUUAGCAAAGGACUUCAGGUGGGCAAUAUUUUGAGUAUACGUAUAUCAUUCGAGCUUUCUGAAAUGAUUUAAUGAUGUUAUGAGCUUAUCAAAUGAUUUGAGAUAAAUGAUGUUUGAGAACUGUUUGAGUUGCCAAUUUUUGAUGUUGAGCUUGUAUGUUACCCUCUACUGAUGAGAUGAGACGAAUUCGGUCCUGCCACAAGCGGGAUUUUGUGCACAGAGGUGACUGCGAGCCGUCUUCGGGUCGGCCGGUCACGGUACUUGAGAGGGAGGCCUACUUCUCAGGACCUUUGAUGAUGAUAAGUUGUAGAUGUGGUACAUACAUGAUGAGUACUUUGAUAGCGCUAUCGUUUCUUUAUGAUAUCAUGAUUAUGAAAACUGCAUGCACAGAUUCAUUUACGCUAACUUUUUUUCUGUGUGUUGCUGAGAUGUGGCAAGUUUCAAACCUAUAGCUCUAAGAGCACCUUUCUUAUUUUUCGGCGUUUGCCCACUGAGUAUUAUGUACUCACGCCCUGCAUGUAUUUCUAAAUAUGCAGACUAAGCGAGGAGCGAGAUUGGUCUGGUGCUGGUGGGGAAUUGCUGAAGGAUGUAUUUACUUUAUCGUAUUUCCAUUUUGACGAUAAAGUCUUGAUGAUUGAUAUGCUUUGAUUUUCUUUUGAAUUUAAGCAAUGUACUCACGGUUAUAUGUCUUCAUACAUAUAAUCGGUUCGCCUUUUGCUGCGAUACUCUGCAUAUUAUGAUUCCUUACGAAAAAUGAGCGAUACCCGUUUUGUUUUUGUUCGUGAAAUUCCUGAUAAUUAAAAAGUUAUAACGACAUUGACGAUUUUA